CGAAGGGGGAAGGAGAAGAGCGGCGGCGGCGGCAUGGCGGCGCGACUCCUGCGCGAUGUGGCAUCCACUGCGGCCCGGUCGGCGCGCGGCCACCGCGUCCCCGACCCCUGCGGCGCGUUUGCCGGUCCUGGAAGCCGAGGCACCGCCCCCGCCACUCAGGGCCUUCGUCAUUAUGCAGCACCAUCCAGUGAAGCAGUGGGGAACUUAGAGAUGAGCUUGGAAUUGGAUGCACCCAAACCAAAGCGUAAUCAGUCACGUAUCUCAAAGAAAAGCGGAACAGCCAUGAUGCUUCCACUCCAUUUCCAUUACGAAGAUGUAAUACGUCAGGAUUCAACGUGACUAUCGUCACUUCGGCCGACACAAAAGAUGAGACCUCGCUACUUUGGAGUGGCUUCAUGCUAAAUGAUGAGGGGGAAACCAAGUAAGGGGCUGAAGGUGGUCACUUCUCUCAAAAUGGAUUUUGGUGGUUAUUGCUCAAGCAGUACAAUGCAGCAUUUAUCAGUUUUGUAGACUGAAUGAAUGAAGGUUGUGUGAUUGUUAUGUGUAGCGAUGUAUGGAGCUCAUGUUUAAUUGCUACAUUUAAUACUGUAUGGACUUAAUAAUGUAGUAGGAUCCAAUAGGUAAGUUUUUGCUUAUUUAUGUGGGUCAUGCCGAAGUAGUAGCAUGGAAUGCUCGUUGCUGUUUGUCAAAACCAUUGCAAGAGAGGGCAAAGGAACGCAGCUCAGCUUCAGUACAGGUAGUACUGUGAACUUGAUCUUCGCAACGAGUUGCAUUUUGCUUGUCUCUGGCUCCUGUCCUGUAGUGACAUGGAGAGCUUGCGUGUUUCUCGAAAUCAUUGUAAGAGGGCAUAUUUCCUUGUGUUCCAGAUAAUUUUUUCAGCAGCACGGUGU